UGCGGGGUGGUGUAGUGGUAGCACGGCAGUUUAGUCCUCUGCAAUCGCAAGUUCGAUUCUUGCCCCCGCAUCCA
rnacentral:tRNA from 1 species